AUCUAUACCUGGCAGGGGAGAUACCGUGAUCAAGAAGGCGGUUCACCCAGGGCGAGGCUCAGCCAUUGCACUUCGGCUGUGCUGACCCCUGCGAAUUCCCCAAAUGUGGGAAUCUCGACUGCAUAAUUUCUGGUAGUGGGGGACUGCGUUCGCGCUCUCCCCUG
ensembl:snRNA U1 U1 spliceosomal RNA